CCUACGGGUGGCAGCAGUGAGGAAUAUUGGUCAAUGGCCGGAAGGCUGAACCAGCCAUGCCGCGUGAAGGUCAGUGCCCUAUGGGCGUUAAACUUCUUUUGUGCGGGAGCAAUCAUGGUCACGUGUGGCCAGACGAGAGUACCGUACGAAUAAGCAUCGGCUAACUCCGUGCCAGCAGCCGCGGUAAUAAGGGGGACGCAAGCGUUAUCCGGGUUUAUUGGGUUUAAUGGGUGCGUAGGCUGUGAGGUAAGUCAGCGGUGAAAUGCCCCCGCUCAACGGGGUGAAGUGCCAUUGAUACUGGCUGGCUGGAAUGCGGAUGCCGUUGGAGGAAUGUGUGGUGUAGCGGUGAAAUGCAUAGAUAUCACACAGAACACCGAUUGCGAAGGCAUCUCACGAAUCCGCGAUUGACGCUGAUGCACGAAAGCGUGGGUAUCAAACAGGAUUAGAUACCCGGGUAGUC
rnacentral:rRNA from 1 species